UCAGGAUGAACGCUGGCGGCGUGCCUAAUACAUGCAAGUCGAGCGAACGGACGAGAAGCUUGCUUCUCUGAUGUUAGCGGCGGACGGGUGAGUAACACGUGGAUAACCUACCUAUAAGACUGGGAUAACUUCGGGAAACCGGAGCUAAUACCGGAUAAUAUUUUGAACCGCAUGGUUCAAAAGUGAAAGACGGUCUUGCUGUCACUUAUAGAUGGAUCCGCGCUGCAUUAGCUAGUUGGUAAGGUAACGGCUUACCAAGGCAACGAUGCAUAGCCGACCUGAGAGGGUGAUCGGCCACACUAGAACUGAGACACGGUCCAGACUCCUACGGGAGGCAGCAGUAGGGAAUCUUCCGCAAUGGGCGAAAGCCUGACGGAGCAACGCCGCGUGAGUGAUGAAGGUCUUCGGAUCGUAAAACUCUGUUAUUAGGGAAGAACAUAUGUGUAAGUAACUGUGCACAUCUUGACGGUACCUAAUCAGAAAGCCACGGCUAACUACGUGCCAGCAGCCGCGGUAAUACGUAGGUGGCAAGCGUUAUCCGGAAUUAUUGGGCGUAAAGCGCGCGUAGGCGGUUUUUUAAGUCUGAUGUGAAAGCCCACGGCUCAACCGUGGAGGGUCAUUGGAAACUGGAAAACUUGAGUGCAGAAGAGGAAAGUGGAAUUCCAUGUGUAGCGGUGAAAUGCGCAGAGAUAUGGAGGAACACCAGUGGCGAAGGCGACUUUCUGGUCUGUAACUGACGCUGAUGUGCGAAAGCGUGGGGAUCAAACAGGAUUAGAUACCCUGGUAGUCCACGCCGUAAACGAUGAGUGCUAAGUGUUAGGGGGUUUCCGCCCCUUAGUGCUGCAGCUAACGCAUUAAGCACUCCGCCUGGGGAGUACGACCGCAAGGUUGAAACUUAAAGGAAUUGACGGC
rnacentral:rRNA from 1 species